AAUAAAAGUGGGAAGUUAUAUUAAUAACUAAAAAGAAGGUUACGGUCGAGGCUGAACUGCCAAUUGCGACAAACAGAAACAUAACCUCACAAUAUGUAAUUUCAGUCAUCCAGUUUGUUGCCAAGCGCUAAAACAGGGCUGUAAUUUCAGUUACUCUUGUUGAAUUUUGCAACUUCCUUUCUAAUGUAACCCCUGUAAUUGAUUAUGUCUUACCUCAUUAUUAACAUGUUCUCCCAAACAAAAAAACAAAAUCCAUUUUCAUAGACAGCUAAAUAGGUUACAAGCUUUAAUAAGCUUCUAAUUGCAGAGGGUUGACUGAUUUAUGACUCGAUAUUAUAAUUCGAUUUUAAUCACUAAUUUAUUGUAUUAUUGUAUUAAUUGUCGUAUGAAUAAAUUGUGUAACAAUGAUGAUAUUGCUCAAAUUUCCAAUCAUACACUAUGAACCAGACUACUUUUUCAUAUGAACCUAACAAAAAAAUUGACAGGAAAAGCAUGAUUUGAACAAAUGGAUGACCAACUUUCUAAAAAGAAAGAAAAGGAAAAGAAUAAUAAAAACUAAAAGCAAACGGAUGAUCAGGACCACAACGUUUCCAUUUUACUGCAACAUUUCACACACACAUAUAUAAAGUAUAUGCAGAGAUGUUAUUCCUCUGUUCUCAUAUAAUCCAAACAGGGGCAAUUUUCUGCACUUGGCUAAAACCCACCGCGAGCAAUUAGCCCCUUAUUUUUCAUAAAAAUCAAUUGCUACGAAUGUUUGAUUAUAAUGGAAAAACAUGAUUAAAUUGAAAGCAAAUAAAAUAAAACCCUAAUCUAGAAAUUAAACCUAAAUUAAAAAAUUAAACCCAAAUGAAAUAUCAAACAUUAGGUGGUGAAGGACAGGGAAAACAAUUGUACUGCACAGUAGAGAUGGUGUUGCAGCGGAGGUGGUGUCACGCAGUGGGGUGCAGUGGAGGUGGUAUCACGCAGUGGGUGGGUGUCGCACGAUGAGGUUACAGUGGAGUUGGUGU
rnacentral:lncRNA from 1 species